UCAUAUGAUCAAAACAUUAAACUCACAUUCAGAAAAUCGCUAAUUUUUCUCUCAUUCUGAAUUGAACACAUAGUUAAUCUGAUUGAUUCGAUUUGUAAAAGUGUUGAACAUUCUAAUAAAAGGAAUUAGCGAAUCCAUCUGCUAUUGCGAAAUUCAAAGCACCAAAAGAACUAAUUUUCAAAUAAAAUGCCUCACACUCGUGCAGCCUUCAAUUGUACAGCGAGAUUAGAAAAAAGCCAAAAGUUGAAAUUUCAUUCUUCACAGUUUUCCAAAGGAUGACAAAUUAAGGGAACAGUGGAUGAAAGCUGAAGAAGAAUUGAUUUCAACCCUUUUUCCUUGUUGAAAAUAUGCAGCAACCGUUUUCAUCAACAUGAUUUAAAUAUUCAUGGUACAAAAACUCUGAAAAAAGAUGUUAUUCCUUCAGUUUUCAGUUUCUCCAAUUAUAUGCCUGAGAGAUUAAAUUAUGGAGAUAAAUGUCUUGAAGAUAAUAUUGAAGAAAUUGAACAGGACCAGCCAGAGACAAAACAGCAAGAGAUGGGGCAACCAGAGACGGUACAACUGUUUAUAAUAUCAAAAUCCUCUGCUGCUGCCAUGGAAGAUUUUCCCCCCAGAUUGAAUACUAAUAUUAGAAAUACUAGAAAUUAGAAACCUGGGAAUGAGGAUUUCCAAGAAUGGAACACUAGACGAAGUAAUAUCUGAGAGAAACAUCCAAAGAAAACCAAUAAUCUCAAUGUUAAAUAGGAUAUUAUCGAUUGAAAACAUAAAUGUAAAUAAUAAGAAAA